rnacentral:rRNA from 1 species
UACGUAGGGUGCGAGCGUUAAUCGGAAUUACUGGGCGUAAAGCGUGCGCAGGCGGUUUUGUAAGUUUGUCGUGAAAUCCCCGGGCUCAACCUGGGAAUGGCGAUGAAGACUGCAAGGCUAGAAUCUGGCAGAGGGGGGUAGAAUUCCACGUGUAGCAGUGAAAUGCGUAGAGAUGUGGAGGAACACCGAUGGCGAAGGCAGCCCCCUGGGUCAAGAUUGACGCUCAUG